rnacentral:rRNA from 1 species
UACAGAGGUCUCGAGCGUUGUUCGGAUUCAUUGGGCGUAAAGGGUGCGUAGGUGGCGUGGUAAGUCUGGUGUGAAAUCCCGGGGCUCAACCCCGGAACUGCACUGGAUACUGCCAUGCUUGAGUACUGGAGAGGAGAUUGGAAUUUACGGUGUAGCAGUGAAAUGCGUAGAUAUCGUAAGGAAGACCAGUGGCGAAGGCGAAUCUCUGGACAGUUACUGACACUGAGGCACGAAGGCCAGGGGAGCAAAC